UGGCUCGCUGAUUAUAGGUGUUGAAAACCUUAGAAUCUUAUUGUUAUCGUGCUUGUAUUGUUAUUGUGUAGUGAAUUCGAGAGGGGUCAUCAAAAGGGGUCCUCGGUUCUUCAAAUCAUGGACUAUUUUGGUGUGUGUUAGUGUCUUCCUUGUCGAUCUUGUAUCAUUUGGUAUCAAAACAUGCUUGAUUUCGUUUUCACAAGAUCAAUCUAGCUUAAAAAUACAAAAAAAAAAAAAAAGUGUAGAAGUUGUUCUUGUUCUUGGCCGAGACAUGUUUCUUUGUGGCUAGAUCUUGUAGUCUUUUGUUUGUUUAGAUUGUUUCUAGUGUUGGUUUCUUUCUCACCAACACUAAAGUGUCUAGAUCUAAAGGUUUGAGCUUAUGUUGUUGAGAUCUUAUUGUUCUUCACAUCUUGACAUCUCUUAAUCAAUAUAAAGUAUAACAUAAAUCAACCACUUUUCCAUAUUUCAAGGACGUUGUUUUGUGGAAAUAGUAAAGUCAAGUCUCACUUUUUGAGUUGGAAUUUGAAAAAGUUUUUAAGACUUGAAUUUUUCCACCAAAAGGCAAACUCAUCCAUCCAAAUUGUAUCAAGACAAAAGCUUCAAAUUGGUGAUUAAAAAAAAAAUUGGGUGGGACCGCGACCAAUUACGUGGCUGCCACGUCAUCACGUUCUACUGUUCACGCAACAUAAGUAAGCUCGAAUUUUUUAAUUUCUUAGUUUCUAAUCUUUGUUUCUUAGUUGCAUUUUGUUGAUUCUAUUGCUAAUUAACAAACUAGUAAUUGUCUACUAGGUUGUAAAUUAGUUUUGGGUCCAUUUAUUCGUGUCUACGUUUCUUUGUGUGCUUUUAUCUUUUCGAAAAUUCGUUGUAGCCUUUUGACUCAAAUACGUACAAAUUUAUUUUGAGUCGUUGCAAACAAAAAUCCAUUCCGACCUUAAGCCGCAAGUGUGACCAAGUAACUUCAUUGGAGUAAAAACGGUGUACCAACACUUGUGAGACCAAUUGAGUGAUACUUCAAAAAGUGUGAGCUUGAGAGUUAGUGAGGGUGAUUUUUGCUAACCUUAACUUGUUAUUGUUUGUGUUUUGUUUAGUAUUUCUUAUUAGGUACAAUGGCUUCGGGUGAAGGUAGUCCAAGAGCCUCGAGAGAGGUAACCAUGGAUGCUUUGUUAGCGGCCAUAAUGAGCGUGAAACAUGAUCUUAGUGGUCGAAUGGAGAGAAUGGAGGAGACUAUGGACGGGAUGGAGGGUUUCUUUUCAAGGAGAAUGGAUACAUUGGAAGAUCGUUUAGAUUCCAACCAUUCAAGUCCGAAACACUACCAUGCCUCGACUAGUGGACAUGCUACCAACCCGGAUACAUUUCCCCAAUUGCUCAAUCCACCUAGACCAACCCAUGAACCCAUCCACCAAGUCCCUACUUAUCCAAAAAACCGAAGUCCAUCAAGAAGCUUCCCAAAUCCUAGACCCCCUUGAUAUGCCGAGAGCACCACUAAACCAAAACCAACCAAUACAAAUUGAUGAUGUGGAAGGUGAAGGGUCUUUAUGGAGGUGAGGGGUUAGAUGAAGCAACUCUCUUUGCAGAAUUUGUGCGCAAUAGAAGAAGAGCUUAUGGCGGGGGACAUAGAGGCCGAGGGGGAAGAGUUGGACCGGCUCCUCAUGGUAGGAGCAACUUGGGACAACGACCUCAUGUUCAAGAAGGUCUAGUGGACCAAGGAGGCAAUGUGGGUAGAGACACGGGCCUAAAUUCCAUUAAGAUCACUCUUCCUUCUUUCAAAGGGACUAGUGAUCCAUCUCUCUAUCUUGAUUGAGAGUUACAAUGUAAUCGGACUUUCCAACUCAACGAGUUAACUUCACAAAAGAAAGUCGCACAUGCCAUUGCUCAAUUUGAAGGUUAUGCAUCCACUUGGUGGGAGACAAAGCGGUUGCAACGGGCAAGGAAUGACAAUCUUGACCUUCCGAAUUGGGAUGAAUUGAAAGCUCUUAUGAGGGAGAGAUAUGUCACGGAAAGGUAAAAACAAGAGCAGCUAGCAAAGCUCUACAACUUAAGGCAAGGAGAUAGAAGUGUGGAGGAGUAUUAUGAUAAGUUUCAAAACUUGAUCCUACAUCUUGACAUAGUCGAACCUCCAAAUCAUUGCCUAGCUCGGUUCAAGGGUGGCUUGUGCUAUGAAGUUGUUUCUCAAUUAGUUGUCCACAAGUUUGACCGAAUUGAGGACCUUGUAGAAGCGGCCAUUGAAGUUGAAAGGAACAACCAUGCUAAGAACACCUUCGGGUGGGACAAGUCCUACAAGCCCUUAGAGAAGAAGCCAUUUGAUAAAACAAUCCAAAGGUAUCCACGACUUGAAGGUACUAAUUCUUCCACUCCUAAUCCUAAGGGUAUCGUUUGUUUUAAAUGUCAAGGUUGGGGUCACAAAGCUAGCGAGUGCCCAAACCGAAGGAACAUUGUACUAAUGGAUGGUGAUCCUUAUUUUGUUGGGGAUAAAGUGACCAAAACUGAUGUUAGUGAAGGAACUCCUCAAGAGGAUGAUGGAGAUGAUGGAGAUGAUGGUGAACCCGAGAGGGUGCUGGAAGAAGGGGAAGUUAAUGUGCCUUGCAGAUUGAUGAGGAGAACAACUCAUGUUGAUGCUUGGCCCGAAGAAGGUGAGGUCUUGAUUCCACCUUGACCUCUUGAUGAUCAAGAACCCAAGAGUACACUAUGGUCCUUGCUCCAAGGAAGUACUCUUUUCUUUUGGUCUUGUUUUUUGUCACGCUUAGGUGGAUAGACAAGUAUUUCUUUUAGUGCUUAGAAGGGUAUCUUAUUCCCUAAGUUCCCACGGUAUGUGUAGAAUAUACACUCGUGGUUUGAUAUUUUUUUGUUGAUUAUGCUAACUUUAACCCUCUCGUCAUGAGGAAUAUGUGUUCUUUUGUCUCCUUUAUUGUUUUGAAGGUUCGGAUUCGAGGUCGAAUCCUUUUUCAAGAAGAGGAGGAUGAUACGAGUACGAUCGUGAAUGUCGAUCAAUACGUAAAGAACUCGUGCUCGGGUGAUUGGCCAACUAAUGGAACAAGCUCUGGAGUGUUGGCUCAUUAAGGGCAUUUUAGUCAUUUUGUAAUAAGUUGUAACCUAGGCUAUAAUUAGAACAUAUUAGGUCAUUUUCUCAUAACUUAGAUGAUAUUUUGAGAGCUCUUAGAGAGUGUUCAUACAAGUGUGGAUAUCACUUGUGAGAAGUGUGGAAUCACUUGUGUUGGUUGCUUGUUUUGAAACGUUGGUUGCUUGGGGAUUCCGUUCCCUUGAGGUCACAGUAAGAACUUGAUGUUAUUUGUAUGAAUUCUUGGGUCUUAGUGUUCAAUAUACACUUUGGUCCAUAGUGUUUGUGCAUUGUAUUUGUUAUUGUGUUGAAAUCUUAGUUUGUGGUUCGCUGAUUAUAGGUGUUGAACACCUUAGAAUCUUAUUGUUAUCGUGUUUGUAUUGUUAUUGUGUAGUGAAUCAGAGAGGGGUUACCAAAAGGGGUCCUCGGUUCUUCAAAUCAUGGACUGUUUUGGUGUGUGUUAGUGUCUUCCUUGUCGAUCUUGUAUCAACAAGUCCCCAACUAACUCCGACUACUGAACUACUGGAAUGUUGAAAUAAUAACUGUCCUCAAAAUAUAAGGACUCACCAAUAUAACUGUUGUUGAUAACCUGAGCUGCAAAGUAUGGUAGGAGCCCGUGCGUCUGAACCUAUGAUAUGAGACAUCAUAGCACAAAAGAAAGAGUAUGCGUCAGUACUUUGAAUGUACUGGUAUGCUAAGUGAGGUAGGGUGAUAUACAUAGGUUCAUAUGCAUAAGAUGAUAACAGACUGAAUGAACAUCAUGAAAUAACUAAAUAAGAGUACAUGCAAAAACUGUAACUACUAAUCAUGCUGAAUAUGCAAUACUGUGCAACUAACCUCUGCCUAAAUUAGACUGAAACUGAAGUACUAAAUUAUGGUGGCUAAGUAACUGAUAGCCAUGGUUCUAUAGAACUAUCUGAGGUCUUUACUGAAUUCUGAGACUAAAUACUGAUUACUACGUAUUGAAUACUGAAAUCGUAACAGUGGGAGUGUUCAUCUAACCGACAUACCCCGAUUAUAAACUGAGUUGGGGUCCAACCUAUGACCCCAGUUGGAAGGGUGUUAGCACCGUGCCACGGGUACUAACAAUGGCUAUGUGGAUCCACUAAUGAAGCACCCUCAUCUGGCAGGUGAGAUAUGUGUUACCCUCAACUGGCAGGUGAACAAUUUAUCAACCCUCAACUGGCAGGUUGAUAUAUUUUAACCUACGCUAGCUAUGUAGUUCUGGAACUCAACUGGCAGUUUGAUAUAUUUUAACCUACGCUGGCUAUGUAGUUCUGGAACUAAGGGACAGCUACUAAAGAUCACACCCUCAACUGGCAGGUGAGCCCCCAUUCCUAGGUUCGCUUGGUGCUGAAUCCUACUCCCAACUGAAUAAACACUAAACUAAUCACUAGACUGUACUAGGCUUGACUGAACUGUUACUGCUCGUGUUGACUGACUAAACUGGACUGGGUUCACAGAGUUCUCUAACUGAAUGAGCACUACUGUUCGUGACACUAGUGAGAUCUGUAGCUACUGUAAUUCUAGGUAAACAGUUAGAUUUUUGGGUAUUGAAUACCCCCAGGACUCGAUAACAUCAAUAGUAUAACAUGGCAAAAUUUUGAAGGCAUUACAUUAAUUACUAUUCACCAUGCAUUCAUUUAGACAUUUUGUCAAACACUUGAGGGGCAUGAACUUGUACAUGAACGGGACCAUAUGGUAACAUGUCAUGAAUUCACUCUUUAAUUACCAUAGGCAUUCUAUCAAACACUUGGGAGCAUAAUUAGUGCACAUAGAAAUCAUCAAGGUAUCAACAUCGUAGCAACAACAUUCAACUUGCAAAUUCAGGGGUUUAACACGAGAAUCACAUAAUUCUACAUACAUGCUAAUUAAUUUACAAUUUUAUAUAAAAGGGAUUAUGAAACUAAGCUUUGUGAAAGCGAAAAUUUCAACAACAAAUAGAAUUCUUUUUUUUUUCUUUCCUUCUUUUUUUUUUUAAGAGCUACAUAUUUUUAUUAUACCCGGACAGUUAAGAUUCAAGUUUACACAAAGAGAUGCAAAGGAUGAACUUUCGUAUAAUGCAUACAUAGAGGAAUUAGGACAUGAUACUGUUCAUGCUCAACACUCUGAAGUAGGGAACUAGCUAGACAUGAGAAUAUUUGCAAGACAUAUUUGUCCAACACAAUUCAUUCACACACACACAAGGAAAUUGAGAGAUUCAAGAAACAUCAUGGAUGAAGAACGGAAGUCAACAGAUCAUUCAUUUCAAGCGAAGAGUUGGCAAUACAAAAAUGGACCAUGAAUUUAAGGUCAAAGGAAUUCCCUUUCCAUGGGUUAUGGAUGAAAUCCCUCACACCUAGAUAGGAUUCAUGUAAUCUUUCUACCACUUUGAUAUUAUUUAAAACCAAAUCCAAACCAUCCUAGAUGUAGGAUGAAUGGGUAAAUUAUUAAAACAAGACAAAGCUCAGACUUUGUCCUUUAUAAAACAAGAAUAGUACUUGAGAAACUCUUGAGAUUGAAGAUUGAAUUAGCGCAAAGCUCGAUUUUGUCCAACGUUUUACUCUAAAAAAAAAAGGGCCCUAAUAAUAACUAUUUCACUCGGGUUUUUUUCAAGCUUUCAAAGCAUAUUAACAAAAACAAGUAAGAUCUUUAGAUGCUCCCGAAACAUCAGCUUUAUCACAAGUUCAUGAAGGUCACGACAUGACAAAACAACGUAAAGGCUUACUGGAAAACAUUAUAUUAGCAACAAUUUUCAAUUCGAAGGCACUACCAACAAUCGAACAUAAGCUAUGUCUAGUUUUAUAACUGUUAGGUAGAGUAGUGAUCUCCUAAGGUGAUUUCUUAAUGAUAAACCCACUUAGUAUUAAAAUAGACUAAAUAAAAAAUUCCACUAUGCUUUACAGUCAAUCACCUUCCGUAGUACUAGUGAGAACAAAACUUGUUAAUAUUGACUCAUUUCAAUCUUAGGAAUUUCAUAUAACAUUAGGCUAUGUUUACCAUGUAGACCGAUCUCAAAACUCACAACUACAGUGAGAUUCACAUUACAAAUUACAAUCCUAGAAAUAGAAAAAAGACGAGUCUUUUUACCUUUUUGCGGGCAGCGAAUGGGACAGAACGAGCUUUGACGACGAACUUCCGUCACCACAAUUUGAUCCUGCUUCAACGGAAUUCAAACAAAGUCAUCGCAUUUCAAGAGUUGUGUUUCUCGAGAAUCUUGGUUACGUGAGCUUAAAAGCAAGCGCCUUCAGAACCCCAAUUUUUCCCCAAAAUCCUCUGCCUUUCUUCUUUUCAAUCUCCUCUAUUUAUAGAAGGAGAUACUGAUCUUUCAUCUUCAAAAUUUAAAAAUGGAGAAACACAUCCCUUAAAAUUCAGAUUUGACACUGUGACCUCGGACUUGGAUUGGAUUUUGGCAUGGAAGACACUCAAUUUUGAGCCAAAAGCCCACAACAAUGGCUCUAUCUCUGCAAAAUUACAGAGAUAAGAUGGAAAAGAGAGACUUUUCGGGAUUUGGGGGAUUUGUCGUUGAAUUUUGCUGUUAUCAUUUAACGGAUCAGAUUUUGACUGAAUCGGGUUGGUUGGAGUCGUUGUUGAAGGUGCUGACCGAGUCGCCGGUUCCGGGUACGGGUUGGAUGACACCGUCGUUUGUUGAAGUUGUUCCUGUUUGCAUUGAUAUUGUUGUUAAUCGGUUUUUGGGUGUGUUGUGCGUUGUUAUAGCUGAGGUUGUAGAUGACAAUCAGGUAAAGGGGAAUGGAUUUUAAAAGGGCCUUUGGGUCGGGUUGCUCUGUUGGGUAAAAAAUAAUAAAAUGGUUGGUCU
rnacentral:lncRNA from 1 species